rnacentral:rRNA from 1 species
GACGAACGCUGGCGGCGUGCUUAACACAUGCAAGUCGUACGGUAAGGCCCUUUCGGGGGUACACGAGUGGCGAACGGGUGAGUAACACGUGAGUAACCUGCCCACAACUUUGGGAUAACGCUAGGAAACUGGUGCUAAUACUGGAUAUGUGCUCCUGCUGCAUGGGGGGGGUUGGAAAGCUCCGGCGGUUGUGGAUGGACUCGCUGCCUAUCAGCUUGUUGGUGGGGUAGUGGCCUACCAAGGCGGCUACGGGUAGCCGGACUGAGGGAGUGACCGGCCACAUUGGGACUGAGAUAAGGCACAGGCACGUACGGGAGGGAGAAGGGGGGAAUAUUGCACAAUGGGCGCAAGCCUGAUGCAGAAGCGCCGCGUGCGGGAUGACGGCCUUCGGGUUGUAAAACGCAUUCAGAAGGGACGAAGCUUUUUGUGACGGUACCUGCAGAAGAAGCACCGGCUAACUACGUG